CCUCGGUCUGAUCGCUUCUGGGUCUUCAGGAGGCAGACCCAAGGCCCGUCCAUCACACUCCAGUUAACAUUACACUAUUUGUGUUUUAAUAGGCCUGAGCUUCAAUAAGUCUGCCAAAGGAUGGCUUGCAGCUACCAUUUGUUUUGUCCCUGACACUGAAGAUCGCAUUGGCUAGGACAAGCCUAAGGAACCAUCCCACACAACUCCUGAACCUGGAUGAGAGAGUGUAGUCCCUGAAACCACGUUGGUGAGAUGCCAGAAUACUUGCCUCCAAGGGCAUCACACACAAGAACAUUUUCUCCAAGCAGUAGCAGUGGUAUAGCUCCCUCCCUCCUCCACCAUCACCAGCUAUAUGAAUUGGG